UGUAACAUAAUCUUUCAAGCACAUGUCCAUAGCUCUACAUCUCAGUUCUUCUGAGGUGGUUAAAUAUUUACAUAUACACAUGCCCACACACAUCUAUUAACUGUCCAUCAGGAUUUAGCCUACAGGUCCCUAUGCCUGGAAGGGUUGAGCUAUUUUGAAACCAAACCAAUUAAGAGCAGCAAGGCCCUGAGGCUGAGGGAAGACCCAGGCAACUACAGAUCCCUAAAAUGUACAAUCUUGGGGCCAAACUAACACAUGUAGGCAAGAUCUGAGGUCAUGAUUUGGAAAAAGCAGCUCCUGCAUCUUAUGUAUAAGUGCAUAUCUGGCAUGAUCUUUUGUGAAGAGGCGUUUGGGUACUAUUGAUGGAGAUUGUGGUUGGAGGAGAGAUGGAACUAACAUCACACCCUGUGCGUUGGCAACUUCUAACUAUGCUGGGGAUAGCACAGUCUUGUUCAGUUAUCAUUCCACUAAUAUUUAAUAACCACAGAAACUAGUAAUACACUAAUACCUAACAUCUAUCAAGCACGUGUAUGCCAAGCCCUUAUGUACCUCAUCCCAUUCAGUCCUUAUCAUUGAAUGAGAAGGUUAUUGAACCCUCUGAAAUAGGCCUGAUAAUUGCCUCUAUCUUAUGGGUGGGGAGACUGAGGCUAAAGUGACCCAAAGUUACACCACCAAGUAUGUGAAGGAUCUAAGUUUGAAUCGAAGUCAGACCAGGUAGACAAGGACAAAUAAUGCACAGUCCUUGCCCUCACAGAAAUCACAUUUUAAUAGGUAGAUUAACUCCCAAAUUAUAGCAGAAGGGGUUUUUCUGUUUUUUAACUUAUUAUUAUUAGUUUGGGGACGGGGCAUGGGAGGAAGUGGUUAAAUGAGGAAAUGGUGCAUCCUGGAAGCCGAAGUUUAUUGGUUGGGUUGUGAUGGAGAGUUUGCAUGUUUGGAGUGGGAGGUAGGGUGGCCCAGGGUCGUAAGAUGGAUACAGGGAGGAGAGGGCACCCAGGAGACAGGGGUUUCUGCUACAGGUGGCUGGGCCAGGAGGAGGAACAUGGCUCUGCUGUUAGUACAACAGGUCAUUUGCAGGGAGAAUACAGUAUGCCAGACAGAUGAGUGAGAUGUGUACCACUGUGUCAGAUGCACAGCUGCUUCUUCCCCUUGUGGUUCCCUGUGAAGUCUACAACAAAGCUGCACAAUACUGAGUGUGACUGAUUUUUUGUGAAAAACAGUGAAGGAGCUGAGGUUAUACCCAAGGGUUGUGCCCACAGAGUCAGAACAGGACUGCUGAGGGCUUCUCAGUAUCUCUGGGCUCUGCAGGAAACACACCUCUGGGCUGAGUCAACCAAGGCAUGGCUUGGGCAGCUGAAGGCUGAGCCUUUAGAGAAAGCAAAAGGCUCCCUUCACACAGGCAGAUUUAGUCACAAGCCAGGGACCACAGCUUGGCAAAUGGAGUGAGGGCUGGACUUCUGCCCCCACUCACCCCCUCUGCUGGCUGUCUUCAGUCAGGUACAAGCUGCACUUGAGGUCUGCAGGGGCCCAGAUGUCUGGCACAAGAGUGGCAGCAGACAGCUGAGUUACCAGGUGGUGGUGUGCUGUGUGGACUGUGCAGAGGUGUGGCAGGGUGCCUCCAAGCCCAGAGGAUAAGGGUGCAGUCUGGCCUGGCCAGGACACCCCAGUUGGAAAGAUCUUAUGUUUAAGCUAAAUGCUGGGGAAUGAGCAGAAUUUCACCAGAUGACAGAGCAAAGGACCUACCUGCUCCUGGGGAAAGGUACAGAAGUAUGAAUUUUGGAUACUGUCAGUGGCUGAUUCACUGCACUGUGAACUGCAGACAUGAGCUCCCCACAAGACUUCUCCGUGAGAGGCCCUCCUUAACCCUCGUAAAUAAACAAAUACUAUGAGAGAAACCUCCAUGCCUGUCAGGCAUGGCAGCUUCAAAGCAAGUCCUGUAGUUCUCCUCUCACACGGCCUGAAGCUUCUACACAGAAGAUGGCACUGGACCAGUAGGUGACAAAAUUAGCAAACAUCUAUGCCCGGUAUGUGAAAGGGCUGGAUGGGAGGGGCUGCUGCCUGGAGAUGAGGGUGGGGGGAAGUAUGUCCAAUGUAAGGGAGUCAUAAAGAAAAGUAUUUAAGAUUCCUGUCACAGGAUUACUGUUACAGGAUUAAUUAUCUCAGCAUUAGCUAUCAAAUCAAUCCAUCCAUCUGAUGAGCUUCCCUGUCUCCUGGCAAGGGACUCAUAGGGCAGAACACAGGACAGGUGAGCUAGGUUGUAGGGAGAGAGGUUUAGAGAAGCAAUUCUUUAGUAGGAGGACAAGGCUGGGUGGGGAGGCUGAGGGAAGUCCAGAAUUACCACAGGACAGCUCAUAGACAGGGACACAGGAGAGGAAGGGAAACUGAAUUUGUCCACUCUCCUUUUCAAAUAUGGUGUGGUAAAGAGUUCCGACGUGCUGGCUGUGGUGCCAGGCUUUGGAGAACACACGUGAACAACUGUCUCCCGCUUCUACCUGCUGCAGUGUCUUUUCUGGGUCUGGGCCUAGGGGUACACACGCAUCACGCUGCCCAGGCUAAGUGCAUCAGAAGUCAUGACUUCAGGUUUCAGAUCUGACAUACUGGAAACUCUCCUAUCUCUGGAACACUGGUGGGUUGGAAUAGGAGAGUUACCCCAGGAAGCCUGAGAGUCAGUGGGCAAGGAGAAACAGGCCACGCUGAAGGGAGUCGUGUCUAGUCAACCAGGCAGAACAAUGGAAGUUGGUGAUUGAUAGCUGUGCAUUAGCUUUGAAUUCUUGGUGAAAACGCAGCCUACAGCAGAGCUAUAAUAGCAUAUAUCAUCUCUUCCCUGCGAAGGAGAAACAGUUGCACCUUCCUACCUAUUAAUCACAUCUUCCAUUAAUCAGAAUAACUCACCAUAAUUGUGAUUACAGUUGGGAAUCAAUUAAUGUUCACCUUAAAGUGUAGAGAGGAAAGCAAUUAACAUAAUAGAGUUAGAGCAUCAAAAUGACACAAAUGUUAUUGACAAUUACGAAUCACAUCUUGCAGUUUUCUGGUUCUCUGCUCUUUCAUGAAGAGGUUUACAGUGGAGGAGGGGAAGCAGUCUCGGAUCUUCCAGGUAAAAAUAUCUCUGAAAACUCCAGGUCAGCAAUUCAUUGAUCUACUCUGUCCCUGAACAUCUACGUGUCUGUCCUCAGAACAACCACUCCAGGAAGAAAUAUGAACAAACCUGUCCCAGGAGCAGCUGAUGGUUUUUCCACCUUUCCAGUGACUUCGCAGGUUCUCAGACUGUCCUCUGGUUGCUCAGAACUACCCAUGGUGGGCAGUCCCGGUGGUUCAGCGGUUUAGCGUCGCCUUCAGCCCAGGGCCUGACCCUGGAGACCCGGGAUGGAGUCCCGUGUCGAGCUCCCUGCAUGGAGCCUGCUUCUCCCUCUGCCUGUGUCUCUGC